UACGAAGGGUGCAAGCGUUACUCGGAAUUACUGGGCGUAAAGCGUGCGUAGGUGGUUUGUUAAGUCUGUUGUGAAAGCCCCGGGCUCAACCUGGGAAUGGCAAUGGAUACUGGCAGGCUAGAGUGCGGUAGAGGGUAGUGGAAUUCCCGGUGUAGCGGUGAAAUGCGCAGAUACCGGGAGGAACACCGGUGGCGAAGGCGGUUCUCUGGGCCUGUGCUGACGCUGAGGAGCGAAAGCGUGGGGAGCGAACAGG
rnacentral:rRNA from 1 species